rnacentral:misc_RNA from 1 species
UUGAAUAAACCUGGCACGGUUGUAGCUGGCUUCUGCAAGUGCUCGCCGUUGUCAUCUUUAUUUCUCCACCUGUGCACCUUUUGUAGACCUGGAUGAUCGAAAAUUUUUCAGAAGUUAAACUUCUGGAUGGCGAGGUUGUUCCUUGAAUAAAGGUUCUCCUUGUGUUAGGUUAUUCAGGCUCUAUGUCAUUUUCAUAUACUCCAAUGAAUGUAACAGAAUGUAUCACUGGGCUUUUAUGCCUAUAAACUAUAUA